rnacentral:sRNA from 1 species
ACAUCCGCAGACAAAAGCAACUUAGUGAAGAAAUAGUUGUUUUUGGCCUAAGGUUCUGGGGUAUAGUCUGCUAUGGCUGGGAAAUUGUGGUUGCGGGAGUAUGAAACAGCUUAUCGCUUUGUAUCUGCGGUUGGGAAGAAGGGAGAGAUGAAUGCUCCCUCCAAGCUCAGUCUUGCAUUUUUAUACCGCAGCCCAGGAUCCUGACGCAGAGAAUUGUGCUGCCCACAGUACCUUUCUUCUCAUCCUGUACCAUGCAAGCCUAAGAGAAUUCCAGAAACGUCAUCUGACAGAAGAGAUGAUCCAGUGAGCAUAUUAUGAGCACUGGGCGGAGCCUUGUGUGAACAGGACCCAGCUUCUGGUAAAAUGCUUCCAUGUGACGUGGCCGACCUUUUGAGUCAUUGAGGAACAAUGAGAGCUCUGGAGAAGAUGUACUUCGGAUCCUUCUUCAACCAAGAAGAGCGGCAGGAAACAUCACUGAACAGCACUGCUGGGGUAGCCUCCAGGGACGGCACGAACUCACCUUACAUAAUUAUUCUGGAAAUGAGCUGUUUGUGUCCUACCCGCUCCCCAAGAGGCACUCCCUACCCUUUGGGGGUUCAUUUCCGCAGCCGCUCACUGGUCAUUAAGUCAUUCUUCAUCUCUCCUACCUACUGAGCUGUGCUGCUGAGAAAUAUCGACCCAUGGUACUCACCAGGAGCUGAGCAGGCUUCUAUUUAAUGCAAAUCAGAGUUCUCAUUUAUGUACCUUUGCUGUUGACCUGAGCCUUCAUAUUUAGAGUUUCAUGAUGAUAAUUGAUCUUACACUUGCCAACCUGUAAGUAUUUAAAUGCCUUGCUAUCAUUGCUUUA